rnacentral:misc_RNA from 1 species
GAUGAAGAACGUAGCGAAAUGCGAUAAUUAAUGUGAAUUGCAGAAUUCAGUGAAUCAUCGAAUCUUUGAACGCACAUUGCGCCCCCUGGUAUUCCGGGGGGCAUGCCUGUUCGAGCGUCAUUACAACCCUCAAGCUCUGCUUGGUAUUGGGCCCCGCCAGUUCUGGCGGGCCCUAAAGUCAGUGGCGGUGCCUUCCGGCUCCGAGCGUAGUAAUUCUUCUCGCUCUGGAGACCCGGUUGUGUGCUUGCCAACAACCCCCAAUUUUUUAAGGUUGACCUCGGAUCAGGUAGGGAUACCCGCUGAACUUAAGCAUAUCAAUAAGCGGAGGA